CCUACGGGGGGCAGCAGUGAGGAAUAUUGGUCAAUGGCCGGAAGGCUGAACCAGCCAUGCCGCGUGAAGGUCAGUGCCCUAUGGGCGUUAAACUUCUUUUGUGCGGGAGCAAUAAUGGUCACGUGUGGCCAGACGAGAGUACCGUACGAAUAAGCAUCGGCUAACUCCGUGCCAGCAGCCGCGGUAAUACGGGGGAUGCAAGCGUUAUCCGGAUUUAUUGGGUUUAAAGGGUGCGUAGGCUGUGAGGUAAGUCAGCGGUGAAAUGCCCCCGCUCAACGGGGUGAAGUGCCAUUGAUACUGCCUGGCUGGAAUGCGGAGGCGGUGGGAGGAAUGUGUGGUGUAGCGGUGAAAUGCAUAGAUAUCACACAGAACACCGAUUGCGAAGGCAUCUCACGAAUCCGCGAUUGACGCUGAUGCACGAAAGCGUGGGUAUCAAACAGGAUUAGAUACCCGGGUAGUC
rnacentral:rRNA from 1 species